AAUUAAAUCCUAACUCCUAAGUAACCCUAAUUCCCUAACUCCCUAAGUGAACGCCCACUUCACUCUUCAGUCUUCAACUCUUCAUAGUUCACAAAUGACAAAUACAAACUAGAAACUUCCGACCACUCUUCAGUCUUCAUAUGUCUAUGGAUUGACAUAUUCCAUGAUUUCUCAAUUUUCAGACUGGUUGGAGAGUACUCUAAAGAAUACUGUACCGACCCCAAAGCUUUUGGAGAGUUGGAGAGUACACAAACUCGGAGGUUUAUACGCGUUGCUUUUGCUCCACAUCUGCCUGAUUCUUACUGACAACAGGGGCUUGACAAGCAAAAUAAUCUUGCUGAGGAGCUUUUUCUUGGCUAUUUCACACAGGAAAGGUAUAUAGGUGACAGAUUGGUGAGAACAAUGGAUUACUCUGUAAUAGUGUUUGGAGUAUAAGGGGUUACUAGAAAUGUGUGCAAAAUUAUUGUUCAUUUCAUCUACAAGCCUGAAAGUUCAAGCCAGCUUGUAGGAAGUGGAUGACUUUUGUAUAUUUAUUAUUAAUGCAAAGAAUUGUCAAUCGCAGAUGACUCGUACUUGAUCUCAUUUUGUUUAUGUUAACUUGUUCCUGUGCAAAAUUAUUGUUCAUUUCAUCUUCAAGUGCUUGCAUUUGUGUUGAUCUUAUAAGACGCAGAAAUUUGGGUAUUACCGAAUACCGUACCGAACCGAAUUUUUAUUUACCGAUUACCGAAUUACCGAACCGAAGUUUGAAAGUUCGGUAUUUGGUAUAUACUUUGAAUUACCGAUUACCGAAUUAUCGAAUCUAAAUUUUGAAAAUACCGAACUGAAUACCGAACGCCCACCCCUAGUUUGGGGUGUCAUAUAUAUGGUUAAAAUAAGAAAAUGGGUUGCCAUAGAAACAAGUUAUCAUCAUUAUAAUAAAAGUUCAAGAAUCAAUAUGGUUACUGAAUUUUCUUUUCUUGAUUUCAAUGAGUUUUUUUGUUUUUUUUUUGCGUGUAAAAUUAUCAAUUUUUUCCUCUUUUAUAUCUCAAAAUGAUAAAAUCAAUCUUUAAGAAGUUACAUAAAAAUGUCAUAAAUUGGGAAGUGUUGGUUUUUAAUUUUAAGUUGCUUUUUUCGAAUUCCUAAGUUAGGUCCACGUUAUUGCUAUUUGCUGACACUUCUUUUGUGUCUUUUGUCAACUGAAUUUUCUAUUAUUGUAUUUGUUGCUGUCUUUCUCGGGCACGAUCCCUCACUAAAGUUGUAUCAUCUAUUUCACGUCAACAAAGCAAAAUCAUCUCUUUCUAUUUAUUUGUUUAAUUUUAGUUUAUUUUUAAAAAAUUAAUUUUUUAAUUCGAACUUUUUGUGUGUCAUAUUUAAAAUAAGAAGUAUAUAUUUUUGUAGUUGUAAUUUAAGAUCACAAUAUUCAAGACUUCAUGAGGACGGUAGCGAAGAAGACUCGAACACUUCCCAAUCGAAAUGGUGUUGCACCAUGAUACAACUCUCAUCAUGUUUUAUAUAUCUUCGUGCAGUUGGAUGAAUUGACACUUCAUAUUCAAAAAGAAGUAACAUGUGUCUGUUUUGUGCAAACGAUAUAGUAUUGAUCGACGAGAUAUGCGACGUAGUUAACAAUAGGUUGGAGGCAGACCCUAAAGUCUAAAGGCUUCAUGCUGAGUGGACUAAAACAAAGAACAUGAGGCGGAUGGAGAACUAAGUAUUGAUACACAAGUCAUUGCAAAGAUAGGAAGCUUCAAGUAUCUUGGUCUAUAAUCCAAGAAAAUGGGGAGAUCGGUAAGGAUGUCAUACAUCGUAUUGGAGCAGAUUGGAUGAAAUUGAUGCUCGCAUACGGUAUCUUAUGUGAUAAAAAUGUGUCACCGAGACUUAAAGAUAGUUAUAUGGAGUAGUUGUUGGACCGACUAUAUUGUAUAAGGUGGUGUUGGCUAGUAAAAAAUUGUUAUACUUAGAAGAUGAAGGUAGCAGAGAUAUGUUUAGAUGGAAUGUGGUCAUACUAGGAAAGACAAGAUUAGGAAUGAUGAUAUACGGGCAAAGGUGUGAUUAGUCUUCAUGGUAGACAGGAUGCGAAAAGGAGGUGCAUGAGGUUGGCCAUGAUAGGUUUAAUUAAGGAGAGGUAGAUACAAACAAUGGAAGAAUUGAGGAGAGGUAAUUAGACAAGAUAUACACAACUUCAGUUCACCAAGGACAUGAUCUUAAAUAGAAGAGCAUGAAAAUUGAGAAUUAGAAUAGACGGUUAGUAGGUAAUUGAGCAUUUUCUUGCUUUCCAGUGGUAGAACAUUCAAGUGAGAAGCACCUUUUCUUCUUGUUGUUGGUAGUAACCGUCAGUUUUUAAGUUCAUUUUGUUAGUUUGACUUAAGGUACUCCACUUUAGCAAAUUAAGGAACUAAAGAAGCUCAGGAUUGUAUUUAAGGUAGGGGUGGGCAUAAAAUACCGAAAACCGAAUUACCGAACCGAACCGGCUAUUUCGGUAUUUCGGUAUUCGGUAUUCGGUACUUGGGUCCGGUAUUCGGUACCGGAAUAUUAAAUUUCGGUAUUUCGGUUUCGGUUUCGGUAUUUAUUAAUUAUCCCGUUCGGUAUUCGGGAUUUACCGAAUACCGAAUUAUUUCUGUUGGGCUCCUAAAAAUUUCUUUUAAUUUUUAAACAUAAAGGGUAUAGGCCCAUUCCUAUAAUUUAAUCCAGCCCAAUUGUCUUCAACAUACCCUAACCCUAACAGACUAACACAUUACACACUGUAUUCAUCUCAAUACUUCACUACUAUUGAAGUUCUCCUUCUGCCAUUCACGCCGCCUUCAGGCUUCAGCCCUUCAACUUCACUACUACAGUUUGCCCCAUGGAAUCCAUCAGAAGUGCUUAUAACUUCAGCUGAUUCUCGUAUCAGAAUUUUUGACGGAUCAGAUAUGAUCUAUAAGUUUAGAGGUAUUUUCUCUAUUAUAUACUCUUUUGGAGAGUUCAAAACAACAUCAUACAUGUGUUCUCUAAACCACAUGUUCUAUUUUUGUGGUAGCAUCAGGUUUCCGAAAUACAAGCAGCCAAAUUGCAGCUUCAUUUAGUUCGGACGAAAAGUAUGUGAUAAGUGCAAGUGAAGACUCUCAUUUUUAUAACCUCGUGAUAAGUAUGCAUCUUGAUGUAGACAAAAUAGAGCACAAGAACUGAGUUUGACAAAUAUUAAUCUUGUUGGAAUAUUUAUCCAAAUGUUUCCGACGUUUUCAACCAUGACAAAAUGUACAUUACAUUAACUUAUUGUUGAAAGUGGUUGUUGCCUACAUUCUAUCUUCAAUUGAUAGUUGUGGAGUAAAUGAAAUCUAAAAAAAUCCAUUUACA